rnacentral:rRNA from 1 species
GGAGGGGGUUAGCGUUGUUCGGAAUUACUGGGCGUAAAGCGCACGUAGGCGGACUGGAAAGUCAAAUGUGAAAGCCCGGGGCUCAACCUCGGAACUGCAUUCGAUACUCCCGUGCUAGAGUAAUGGAGAGGUAAGUGGAAUUCCUGGUGUAGCAGUGAAAUGCGUGGAUAUCAGGAGGAACAUCAAUGGCGAAGGCAACUUACUGGACAUUUACUGACGCUCAGACACGAAGGCUAGGGUAGCGAAAGGGAUUAGAUACCCCUGUAGUCCUAGCAGUAAACGGUGCUCGCUUGGUGUGGGAGGAUUCGACCCCUUCUGUGCCGGAGCUAACGCGUUAAGCGAGCCGCCUGGGAAGUACGGUCGCAAGACUAAAACUCAAAGAAAUUGACGGGGACCCGCACAAGCGGUGGAGCAUGUGGUUUAAUUCGAUGAUACGCGAGGAACCUUACCAGGGCUUAAAUGUAAGUUGCAUAGACCAGAGAUGGUCUUUUCUUCGGACUACUUACAAGGUGCUGCAUGGUU